GGAGCCAAAGGGGGAGGCCAGCCACAUCACUACCUUGUAUGCUUUUCAUUACAGAAGGUGGCAUGUCUAACCCUGCCAGCCCAAUGCACCACUGAGGCUUAGGAUGGAUUUUUGACCAUCUUCAUUAUCUGUGUAUUUCAAGGCAGGUGUUCCAGUUCCAUUCUCCUGAAUAUAGAAUGGGAUAUUUAUCCCCUAAGCAAUGAAAUUUCCUGAACUUCAGCCACAAGCUUUUGAGUGAAAAAAUCUGUCAUCAAAGGCACCAUCAAGGCUGGUAAACCACAUAAUUGGCUGGACUUGCCAGAAUUCCUACCUUUGAAAAUCUUAGCUGCAGAGCUGGUAUUUCAGGAAGAAGUGUUUUGUUGUGAAGAUGGAGAAGGUUGCAGUGCCCAGCCUGACUGAAGUUGCCCAGAGAAUCGAGAACUUCAACACACAGGUUCCUGAAUUGAAGCAACCAUCAAUCUGCUGGGUCCGACCAAUCGUGUCGUCUUCUUUCUGUGUCUAGUUGUCGCUGGGUGUGAUUUUAAACCAUUCUCCAUUCUGCGCCCAGCCAAUUGGAACUUACAGGAAGUCACAAAUAUCAGCAUCUUUCAUCUUCCCGCAUCUUGUUUUCUCUCCUCUCGUUCAUCGUAAGAAAUAAAAGAGGAAGCCUGGGUGGAAGAUGGGGCUGUGGGGACAGUGAGACUCACCCCAAGAGAUGCAGAGGUUAG